ACUGCUCAGUAACACGUGGAUAACCUACCCAAGAGUCCGGGAUAACCCCGGGAAACUGGGGAUAAUACCGGAUAACGCACAUAUGCUGGAAUGCUUUAUGCGUAAAAUGGAUUCGUCUGCCCAAGGAUGGGUCUGCGGCCUAUCAGGUAGUAGUGGGUGUAAUGUACCUACUAGCCAACAACGGGUACGGGUUGUGAGAGCAAGAGCCCGGAGAUGGAUUCUGAGACAUGAAUCCAGGCCCUACGGGGCGCAGCAGGCGCGAAAACUUUACAAUGCGGGAAACCGUGAUAAGGGGACACCGAGUGCCAGCAUCAUAUGCUGGCUGUCCGGGUGUGUAAAAUACACCUGUUAGCAAGGGCCGGGCAAGACCGGUGCCAGCCGCCGCGGUAACACCGGCGGCCCGAGUGGUGAUCGUGAUUAUUGGGUCUAAAGGGUCCGUAGCCGGUUUGGUCAGUCCUCCGGGAAAUCUGACAGCUCAACUGUUAGGCUUUCGGAGGAUACUGCCAGACUUGGAACCGGGAGAGGUAAGAGGUACUACAGGGGUAGGAGUGAAAUCUUGUAAUCCCUGUGGGACCACCUGUGGCGAAGGCGUCUUACCAGAACGGGUUCGACGGUGAGGGACGAAAGCUGGGGGCACGAACCGGAUUAAAUACCCGGGUAGUCCCAGCCGUAAACGAUGCUCGCUAGGUGUCAGGCAUGGCGCGACCGUGUCUGGUGCCGCAGGGAAGCCGUGAAGCGAGCCACCUGGGAAGUACGGCCGCAAGGCUGAAACUUAAAGGAAUUGGCGGGGGAGCAC
rnacentral:rRNA from 1 species